GACGAACGCUGGCGGCGUGCUUAACACAUGCAAGUCGAACGGAAAGGCCCCUUUGGGGGUACUCGAGUGGCGAACGGGUGAGUAACACGUGCGUAACCUGCCCUUGACUUCGGGAUAACUUCAGGAAACUGGGGCUAAUACCGGAUAGGAAUCCUUGCUGCAUGGUGGGGGUUGGAAAGCUUCGGCGGUUUUGGAUGGACUCGCGGCUUAUCAGCUUGUUGGUUGGGUAGUGGCUUACCAAGGCUUUGACGGGUAGCCGGCCUGAGAGGGCGACCGGCCACAUUGGGACUGGGGUACGGCCCAGACUCCUACGGGAGGCAGCAGGGGGGAAUAUUGCACAAUGGGCGGAAGCCUGAUGCAGCAACGCCGCGGGCGGGAUGACGGCCUUCGGGUUGUAAACCGCUUUCAGCAGGGGCGAAGCUUGUGGUGACGGUACCUGCAGAAGAAGCACCGGCUAACUACGUG
rnacentral:rRNA from 1 species